AAAAAGAAGAAUUUAAAAAUAAUUGAAGAGAAAGGCUACCUCUUGGUAACCAACGGUGCCUUAGGUCCUAAAUACCAAAGAACAGGAAUUAAAUUCAAGCUAAGCUAUUUCUUCAAUCCGUCCUUGCCUCUCUCUCCUUCUCCUUUUGUUUUUAAGAACCAAGUCCCAAAAAUGCUACAUUUCUUUCCAGUAACAUAGCAUAUUUAUUAGAGAUUCAUCGAAAAGUUGCACUUCGAUUUCCAGUGGCUGGAAAAGCCUGACGUCUUCUACCUUGUGGAAAUUCUUUGGUCCCGUCAUCUUUCUCAACUCCAUGAACAACCGAACUUCUUUUCCUACUGACAGAAUCAAGUGAGCUCUGAUCUUUGUCACCCACUUGUUUUGAUUUUUCCUUGUGAUCUUUCCCAAAUCUGAUCGCAGCAGCAUAAUCAAAUGGCUUCAACUUUAGAAGGCCAGUUGGUUCUAGAGAUUUUCGGGUUUUUUCAAUUGCUCUAUUUUGAUUGCUAGACUGGAAGCACUUUUGGAAGCUUGUAGAAAGAUCAGAGAGAGAUGCACGUUCUUUGUCUGCUUUGCUAUCCCCGUGAGAAUCUUUGAUUUUUGAAUCAUCAUUCUCUAAUACCUCUACAUCUGAAUCAUCGUCCAACACUAUAAUUUCUUCUAAAUUGGAACUGGCCAGUGGGACAGCAAAAGAUUCUUCAACAUGUGGAAUUUCUGAAACUGUAGUGGGCUCUUCCACAACUGGUUUUGGAUCAUUUCUGCCCAAAAAUGAAUGGAAUGGAAGAUUUACAGAAUUCCUGAUCCUUUCCAGCUUGAUCUCUUCUUUGUCCUUUUUGUCAAUAUCAAACCUUCUCUUUGCGGCUGCACUUGCACUUCCCAGCAUUGCUCCAAAAGCACCAGUUGGCUUCUUUAAAACCUGAACAGUUGCUCCAGUAUCUGGAUCCAUGUUCCUCAGUGAAACAGGGAAGUUUUCUCUGUGAAGCUCAGAAACAUUACUACUGGAUUCAACACCAUUUUCACCAUGACGCGUACAAGAGCCUCCUUGUUGAUCUCUGCAAAUCUUUGUCUCCAAAGGCCCCUUUCUGAGCUGUGGAGAAGUUGCUUGGAGAGUAUUCCUAUUGCCAUCAUAAAUGGCCUCUGUUCCAGCAGUCUCCAGAUUUGUGUGCUUAUCAGCGGCAAAGCCUUCACAAUUAUCAUUAAGUUCUAUGUUUUCCAGUGAGGCCGUUUCAGUGUGUCCAUCCUUUAAAAGUUGAGCAGCAGCUUCAAACUCGGCAGUAUUUUGCAUGGCAUGCCUAAUUAUGUUAACAAGGGAACCAAGGUUUCGCUCAACAUAUGGGUGCUUUGUUUUCAAUACUCGACGCAACUUUUGAGGCGUAACAGGCAUCUGUUUGGCAAUUUCAAGAAGAGUUUUGUUUGGUAAUAUAUAGCCUGUGCUCUCAUCUUCAGCACGGGCAACAAUAUCUCUCCACUCAAAGAGUCCUGCAACAAUGGCAAGCUGCUGAGCAUUGAAACCAGCAUUCUGCAACCCAUAAAUGUGGAG
rnacentral:misc_RNA from 1 species